GAUUCCAUCACUUGAAUCCAUAAAUUCUAACUUAAGUAAUCUCAACAUAAAUAAAAUUCAUAAUACAACUCCAAAAUAAAUAAGAUAAGAUAAGGCAUAAAGCCACAAAUAGUUUGAUCAAUGCAAAGAUAACGUCACUAACUAUCCGGUGUUAAGCUAUUAGAGCACUAACUAGGACAUAAGGUUACAACUACAUAAUAUAAGAUAAAUGGAGUGGCCAUAAGCCCUUCUCCUCACCAAAGCAAAGCAGAUAACCAACUGCAGCUAAUCCUCAGACGUAGGAAGCUCAACCUGAG
rnacentral:lncRNA from 1 species